rnacentral:snRNA from 1 species
CUUAUGAAAUCAGUGAUCA